CCCUUAGAGUUUGAUCCUGGCUCAGGAUGAACGCUAGCUACAGGCUUAACACAUGCAAGUCGAGGGGCAGCAUGGUCUUAGCUUGCUAAGGCUGAUGGCGACCGGCGCACGGGUGAGUAACACGUAUCCAACCUGCCGUCUACUCUUGGCCAGCCUUCUGAAAGGAAGAUUAAUCCAGGAUGGGAUCAUGAGUUCACAUGUCCGCAUGAUUAAAGGUAUUUUCCGGUAGACGAUGGGGAUGCGUUCCAUUAGAUAGUAGGCGGGGUAACGGCCCACCUAGUCAACGAUGGAUAGGGGUUCUGAGAGGAAGGUCCCCCACAUUGGAACUGAGACACGGUCCAAACUCCUACGGGAGGCAGCAGUGAGGAAUAUUGGUCAAUGGGCGAUGGCCUGAACCAGCCAAGUAGCGUGAAGGAUGACUGCCCUAUGGGUUGUAAACUUCUUUUAUAAAGGAAUAAAGU
rnacentral:rRNA from 1 species